UACGGAGGGUGCAAGCAUUGAUCGGAAUUACUGGGCGUAAAGGGCGCGUAGGCGGACAGAAAAGUCAGAUGUGAAAUUCCGGGGCUCAACCCCGGAGCUGCAUUAGAAACUCUCUGUCUAGAGAACAUUUAGGGUAAACGGAAUUCCACGUGUAGCGGUGAAAUGCGUAGAUAUGUGGAAGAACACCGGUGGUGAAGACGGUUUACUGGGAUGUAACUGACGCUGAGGCGCGAAAGCUAGGGGAGCAAACAGG
rnacentral:rRNA from 1 species